CGUUCCCGGGCCUUGUACACACCGCCCGUCACACCAUGGGAAUUGACUCAGCCCGAAGUCGUGACCCCGAACCCGCAAGGGGCGGGAACGCCUACGGCUUAGUCGGUAACUGGGGUG
rnacentral:rRNA from 1 species